rnacentral:lncRNA from 1 species
CUAGAUGACCAGACUCUUAACAGACAUACCGAACAAAAGCAUCUUUGCUGCCAUGUCAUUUAUGGCCCUGGAGAGAGUCAUAAAACCGCAGGAGUAGCAGCAGAUGCAUCCAGGCUAUUAAAGAAAACAAGGUGGAAUUUAGGGAUUUUUAUCCUCCAUAUCCAAAUGCCUUCCUUAACCCUAAAUACAGGGUAGAGGAGAACAACCUUGAGUAGCUGGAAAUCAUUUGUCUUCCUCCUGUGAAUUUUUACUCACAAAGGAAGCAUAGCUCCAUGCCUGGAGCUGUAUGGGCCUUCUGCAGUCCAUGUUUUACAGUCUGAUAAUUAUGUUAUAAAAGUCUAAGUAACUCAAAAUUGCUUUUUGGAAUUAGGGGUCUGAGAAAAGAGUGUCCAGGUCACAGAGCAGAAUAGAAAAUAAGGAAGUAAAAUAUUCCUUCUCCCCAUCUCCAAGCUGGAGAAUUAUGAAACAUCUUUGGAAACAAAUCAGGGCGUCUAAUCUAUCUCCUGGUGCAAGUGGGGAAGUUGGGUGUUUCUCCAGCCACAAUGCAGGGCAGAGAUCCAGAGGCAAGCUGGGAUCAUGGUACUUCAGGGAUAACAUUUCAAUGAGUUCUGGAGGGAAGUCCACAAAUGCAAACCAGAGGACUGGAUGGAGUGUUCCUCUCUUCUGGAAGCUCCUGGGUGCAGGACAAAAGACUGGAGAUGCACAGAGGACACAGACUCAUGGAUAAACCACCCAUGUAUAGAAAGUACAAGCUGGAAGCAUCUUGGGAUGUAGGCUAACACCCAUGGAUGGUAUCAGUCCAUGUGCUUGGUGGCCUCAUGUCAGGAAACAGGGCAGCAGGGCAGGGGAGCAUCCACCUGGAACCUGUCCCCACUGGAUUGCCAGGAUGCCUCUCCGAGAAGCCUGUCUCAUUUUGUUCUCUUUAGAAGCACUCUGCUUGCAGCCCCUCUGUGAUUUAUCCUUUAUCUGCCAUCAUGAAUGUGUUUAGUAAGCAUCAUUUGUGCUUCCCCAUCACAGACAUACCAUUUUUCUCUAACUCAGAA